rnacentral:misc_RNA from 1 species
GUGGAACCAACUAGACAUAAAGGCUGCAUCAGUGAUUCAUCCUGAGUAACCCGCACAGGGGUAGCAUGGCAGUCCACAAUCAUUCUCACCCUGUUCUGCUUAAACAAAAACCGUGAAGCUUGAGGAAUAUCUGUAGCAGGAUAAUGCAAACCGAUAUAGGGCUCUAAAUCUGAUCUUUUACUCUCAGCCACUACCUCUCCAUGUUCAUCCUCAUGAAAUUUAUAUACCAUAACCCUGUCAUACCCGG